rnacentral:lncRNA from 1 species
GAGUCUCACCAAGAUUAAAUAUUAAAUAUCCAAUGUUUGCAUUAUGAGAUUGUAAUAUAGAAACAAGCAAGUAUCCAUGGAUUUCAUGUACAAUGUCAUUUGAGCAUUACUACAAGCGAUUAACCAGGAUUUACUUCAUUGAACCACAAGUUUUGGUUAACAACAUGCUUGUUUCAAAUUCCUUACUACAAGCUAAAUUACAACAUGGUUGUUUCAUAUUCCUUACUACAAGCUAAAUUACAUAACAAUCAAGUCAAACUUCAAACUUGCUCCCCUUUGCACCCAGUUCUACAUCCAUUUCAACAGGCCAUUACGCGCUCAUUUCCCAACAGACGAAACACGACGAAAUAUGACCUGUAAAACAAAAAAAGAGACAUCAUAGAUGACCCAAGGAAGGUCUAAGUGCGAAGAAGAAUGCCUUAUUUCAAAACUCUGAAACAUGAAAGUCCAAACCGUCCAAAAGUUUUGAUCGACUGCAACUUGUGACAAAUAAACCAGAACAACAGAAACUAGUUGAUAUUAACAUUGCUCUGUGAAUAUGAGACACUAGAAGAGAAUUGAAGUCAUAAAGAUGGACCGUGUAUGGUUUUUUGCAUCCCUGAAUUAUUACCAUUGAACUUUUCAAGUAAGACAGAAGGUUGUGUUUAGACGUCUGAAGGAAAAGGAGAGGGUAAUACCAAAUAUCAAAAAAGUACACCAUCGCAAAACCAAAAUCAUCCAUAAGCCUUGGACUACGCGGUGAAAGCCUAUUAGUGAGCAUCAUACCUAGAUAAAAAAAAACAUGCAUCAGUAAAAAUCAUUAUGGGACCACACAUUCUAAACAUAAACACAAUUUCAGAUUAUACUACAGACAAAAUUGAUACCCAUCACACAUUUGGUCCCCACGAAAUCAGAAGAAAGAUUCGCUCUAACCGAUUGGAAAUCCUUACAAAUUCUUACAGCUAAUGCCUACACGUUUCAGAGGAUUUUCCUUUGAAAAAUUAUCCUCAAAUUCGCAUGUGUGAACACUUGAUUUCCCUCUUAUAAAAGGACACGUCCAAUCAUUGAAUAAAGGGAGGAGGAUACCCUACUGUUACCCUGCUGAAAUCUCAUACCAACCCGUACCUAAAGCUCAAAAUACCAAGGGUGACUCAAAGUUUAUCAUCAAAACUCUGAGUAAACCGAGCUAAGCCCUGAAAAAUCAAAUUAAGUGCAGAAGUAAGAGGAGGGAGAUACCGAAAACUAAGCGAAAAAGGAGAAGAGCUCACACACAGAAUCGAAAAGACACUUACUUGAGGUAAAACUUGUCGGAGUCUCUCCGGAGUCGCAAAGCUCCGGCGACAUCAUUCACCCUUUUAUUCAACCUUUCCAAGGCAUUGCAGCUCCAUGUAGUUGCCGAUUGAAUGUAUGAUUUGAUGAUUCGUUGCUUAUUCAUGAUUGUUUGAGUUAUGUCUGGAUUAUUGUAGAUUUGUAAGAAGCUUUGCGAAUUUUGGUUUGAGUUGGUUAUGUUAUUUGUUUUGUUGUGGGUUUUGUUUCUUUUUGUUGAAAUCGGAAAUUGGUUUGCUCGGAUCUGUUGAGAUUCUGAUGAUGAACACCAUGAGGUGUUCAUCUUUGGUUCUGGAAUUUUAGGUGUUUCGUUUUUUUUGUUUAAAUUGGGCUUUGGUUUUGUUUUGUUGGAAGACGAUGAAUGGAUUGCAGUUUGCAGAAGAAAGUUUUGUUCGGUUGAAGUGUGUAGGUAGAGAGAGAGAGGGAGUGAACGAAUGAGGUGAGGUUUUCUUUUUUCACUGUGUUUGUUUUUCUGCUUUUAUUCUAAGUCGUACCAAGUGGUGAGAUGGGGAUACAUGUAGGUAACUAAUGAUGCAUGUUGUUUUCUUUUAUUGCAUUGCUUUUUCUCGAAAUCAUUUAUGGUAGUGGUUGGAAUAUAGACCUUCAGUGGUGAACUAGUCAUUUUUGUUUCGUUCCUCCACGCGUCUGGUCGGUCGGUGCAAAGAGUUUGUUUGACUCCCUUCUAUAUUUGGGCCAGAUCCGAGUUUGGGCCUUCUUGGAGGGCCAACCCGGUGCAUUUUCCCCUUUUGGGUUGUAUCCACUAUUGCAUUUGGGUUGGAUCUAGUUUAGAUCCUUUAGCUUAUUUUCUUUUCUUUCAUUUAGUCAUUUUCUUGUUUUAUUUGUUCAUAGAAUUAAACUAAUUAAUUAAAUUUCUGAUAAUUAUGAAAUUCUAAUUAGGUUAGUUAGGCAAUUACUUUUGUUUUUAUUAAAUCAACAUGAUAAAAAUAUGUUAAAUUCAAUUUAUUAGUUAAAAUAGAGUUAAUUAUUUCUAGCCUAGAUAAUUGUUCUCAUUAGGUUAUUCCUCUACAAUAUCAUGCCCAUUUUUCUUAUU